rnacentral:misc_RNA from 1 species
GAUGAAGAACGUAGUGAAAUGCGAUAAGUAAUGUGAAUUGCAGAAUUCAGUGAAUCAUCGAAUCUUUGAACGCACCUUGCGCUCCUUGGUAUUCCGAGGAGCAUGCCUGUUUGAGUGUCAUUAAAUUCUCAACCUUAUUGGCUUUUGCUGAUAAUGGCUUGGACUUGGGGGUCUUUUUGCUGGCUUUCAUUAGUCUGCUCCCCUUAAAUGUAUUAGCCGGUGCCCCGCAGUGGAACCGUCUAUUGGUGUGAUAAUUAUCUACGCCGUGGACGUCUGCUAUAAUGGGUUUGCGCUGCUUCUAACCGUCUCUCGGGACAACACAAAUGACAAUUUGACCUCAAAUCAGGUAGGACUACCCGCUGAACUUAAGCAUAUCAAUAAGCGGAGGA